rnacentral:lncRNA from 1 species
AUGGGGGUGUCAGGGCGCGAGCAGGCUCGCUCUUCACCCUUGAGGGAGAGGAGCGCAUUCGUGCGGCCUGGUACGACGCGCAUUUGUGGGGACACCGGGUGUGCAGAGAGGAGUGUUAAAGCAUUAUUUCGAGCUGUGCAGCUUAAACUCUGGUCAACGGGGGAGCAGAGAAGUCAAAGGCAUCGCUGUAGCAAGCAAGUUCUAAACCUCAAUCAUGUCAUUGAUCCACCCUCAAAUGCCCUUUCCUGCGAGUUCCUCGUGGCAAGUGUUUUUAAGUUACUCCGUUCCCUCCUGAUGCAAAGACCAGUGAAUGAUAGAGGUGGCUUGUGACAAGAAAAUUCCAUGUGAAACCAUGGCCAAGUGCAAGCAGCAUGACUUUUGCCUUUCAUUUCAAUGUGGGAAGGUUUUCUUCCGGCAUACUUUCACUGUGUAUUUACAGACCCAAUCCUACAAGUGUCUUCCAUGGCCAUGCAAGGCUUUUUAGUUUGCAUUAUCCAUUUCCUUUUUUCUGUGGAAAGGUUGCAUAAGGUAAUAAACAAAGAUAUGUGGGAGAAAAUAGAAAGUUG